rnacentral:snoRNA from 1 species
AUGGACUGAAAAUUACCCCAGUUGUCUGUCUUCUGGAGUAAGAUAACUGUGCCAACAGCAGCUUGGUACAUUUUUGCUUAUUGUCAGUUCAUGCUGUAACUGCCCAAUGAAACCCAUGUGCCUACACCC